UACGGAGGAUCCAAGCGUUAUCCGGAAUCAUUGGGUUUAAAGGGUCCGUAGGCGGUUUAAUAAGUCAGUGGUGAAAUCUGGUCGCUCAACGAUCAAACGGCCAUUGAUACUGUUAGACUUGAAUUACUGGGAAGUAACUAGAAUAUGUAGUGUAGCGGUGAAAUGCUUAGAUAUUACAUGGAAUACCAAUUGCGAAGGCAGGUUACUACCAGUGGAUUGACGCUGAUGGACGAAAGCGUGGGGAGCGAACAGG
rnacentral:rRNA from 2 species